GAUGAACGCUGGCGGCGUGCCUAAUACAUGCAAGUCGAGCGAACUGAUUAGAAGCUUGCUUCUAUGACGUUAGCGGCGGACGGGUGAGUAACACGUGGGCAACCUGCCUGUAAGACUGGGAUAACUUCGGGAAACCGAAGCUAAUACCGGAUAGGAUCUUCUCCUUCAUGGGAGAUGAUUGAAAGAUGGUUUCGGCUAUCACUUACAGAUGGGCCCGCGGUGCAUUAGCUAGUUGGUGAGGUAACGGCUCACCAAGGCAACGAUGCAUAGCCGACCUGAGAGGGUGGUCGGCCACACUGGGACUGAGACACGGCCCAGACUCCUACGGGAGGCAGCAGUAGGGAAUCUUCCGCAAUGGACGAAAGUCUGACGGAGCAACGCCGCGUGAGUGAUGAAGGCUUUCGGGUCGCAAAACUCUGUUGUUAGGGAAGAACAAGUACGAGAGUAACUGCUCGUACCUUGACGGUACCUAACCAGAAAGCCACGGCUAACUACGUGCCAGCCGCCGCCGUAACAC
rnacentral:rRNA from 1 species